GGCUGGUCUGAAAGUAGUGAGUUAGCUCACGUGAUUGUUCACAAUUAGUUACAGAUUGAACUCCUUGUUCUACUACUUUCCCCCCUCCUCACUACUGCGCUUAACUAGACUUUA
ensembl:misc_RNA Y_RNA Y RNA